UACGUAGGGGGCAAGCGUUGUCCGGAUUUAUUGGGCGUAAAGAGCGUGUAGGCGGCUUGGUAGGUCUGCUGUGAAAACUCGGGGCUCAACCCCGAGACGUCGGUGGAAACCACCUGGCUAGAGUCCGGAAGAGGAGAGUGGAAUUCCUGGUGUAGCGGUGAAAUGCGCAGAUAUCAGGAAGAAUAUCCGUGGCGAAGGCGGUUCUCUGGGACGGUACUGACGCUGAGACGCGAAAGCGUGGGGAGCGAACAGG
rnacentral:rRNA from 1 species